rnacentral:misc_RNA from 1 species
UCCGGCUUUUCGCCGACAGUACCCUUAGGGUGCUCAGCUUUACCUGAUGGCAACUAAGGGCAAGGGUUGCGCUCGUUGCGGGACUUAACCCAACAUCUCACGACACGAGCUGACGACAGCCAUGCAGCACCUCGAUAACCGUCUCCGAAGAGAACUCCCUGUUUCCAGGGAUAGCAGUUACCGUUCGAGCCCCGGUAAGGUUCUUCGCGUUGCGUCGAAUUGAACCACAUGCUCCACCGCUUGUGCGGGCCCCCGUCAAUUCCUUUGAGUUUCAGUCUUGCGACCGUACUCCCCAGGCGGGGCACUUAACGUGUUAACUCCGGCACCGAGGGACUCAAUACCCCCAACACCAAGUGCCCAUCGUUUACGGCUAGGACUAC